rnacentral:rRNA from 1 species
CGGCGGACGGCUGAGUAACACGUUGGUACCUGCCCCAAACUCGGGAAUAAGCGCUGGAAACGGCGUCUAAUGCCCGAUAGUCUCUUCGGAGUAAAGCUUUUGCGGUUUGGGAGGGGCCUGCGCAUGAUUAGCUUGUUGGUGAGGUAACGGCUCACCAAGGCUUCGAUCAUUAGAUGGUCUGAGAGGAUGAUCAUCCAGACUGGGACUGAGACACGGCCCAG